UACGGAGGGGGUUAGCGUUGUCCGAAGUUACUGGGCGUAAAGCGCGCGUAGGCGGGUUGGUAAGUCCGCUGUGAAAGCCCGGAGCUUAACUCCGGAGGGUCGGUGGAUACUGCCAGUCUUGAAGGUGCUAGGGGGAGAUGGAAUUACCGGUGUAGCGGUGAAAUGCGUAGAUAUCGGUAGGAACACCAGUGGCGAAGGCGGUCUCCUGGGGCAUUCUUGACGCUGAGGCGCGAAAGCUGGGGGAGCGAACGGG
rnacentral:rRNA from 1 species